rnacentral:misc_RNA from 1 species
GAUGAAGAACGUAGUGAAAUGCGAUAAGUAGUGUGAAUUGCAGAAUUCAGUGAAUCAUCGAAUCUUUGAACGCACAUUGCGCCCCUUGGUAUUCCAUGGGGCAUGCCUGUUCGAGCGUCAUUUGUACCCUCCAGCCCUGCUGGGUAUUGGGCGUUUUGUUCCGCUACGCGCGUGAACUCGCCUCAAAUGCAUUGGCAGCCCGCCGUCCCGUGUGGGAGCGCAGCACAUUUUGCGCUCUCCGCUGCUGACGGUGGCAUCCACAAGUCUACCAUUUUACGCUUGACCUCGGAUCAGGUAGGGAUACCCGCUGAACUUAAGCAUAUCAAUAAGCGGAGGA